rnacentral:rRNA from 1 species
ACCUGGUUGAUUCUGCCAGUAGUCAUACGCUAGUCUCAAAGAUUAAGCCAUGCAUGUGUAAGUAUAAAUCUUGUACUUUGAAACUGCGAAUGGCUCAAUAUAUCAGUUGUAAUCUCUUCCGUAUUCCCUUACUACUUGGAUAACCGUAGUAAUUCUAGAGCUAAUACAUGCGUCAACACUCUGUAAGAGUGGUAUUUAUUAGAUAGAAACCAACCCACCUCGGUGGUAUUUUGGUGAUUCAUAAUAACUUUGCGAAUCGCAUGGCUUCUGCCGGCGAUGGACGGUUUGAGCUUCUGCCCUAUUAGCUUUGAUGGCUGGGUAUUGGCCAGCCAUGGCUUUCAUGGGUAACGGAGAAUUAGGGUUUGAUUCCGGAGAGGGAGC